GCUCCCCGACCGUUGGAUCCCAGGCCUGGGCCAGGGUCAGUAGCCAUGGUUGCGCAAGAAAUUUUUCUGAUAUUUGCUCUCGGCCAAUGGGAGGUGGCCAAGCUGCGUGGGGCGGGAGAAGAAGGCACAGCGACAUGUGUCUUUCCUGCACAAAUCGCCUCGUCACUCUCGAUGUGGAGCGCCGCUGCUUUAGGGAAAGGGCAAGAGAGCGAUGCGCUCGAGUAAAUGGUCAGUGAAGCUGUGGCUCCUGGAUCUCCCAGGCAGAGAUCUUCCACUCAGAGAUCUCCCGCUCAAUUGCCACAGCAAUCCCUGCAGGAACAGGCACCAGCAGCAGAUCCGGAGCUACAGUCUCGCCACCGUCACUCCCGGCAUGGAGGAUCUCCACCGCUGCUUUAGGGAAAGGGCAUAGCUCUAGAGGAGAGCGAGUAAAUGGCCCAGUGGUCCACCCAGUGGCAGCAGUGGAGGGAUGGACAAGGGGGGUGGUGCGAUGACACUCGGUGGUUUUCAGCCUCCAAAAGACAUGGUUUUUACGUCAUCUGAUCCCCAUCGUAGGUAUUCGUUCAUUCUUUAUGACUUUGUUAGAGUUGAAAGCUACAAACAACAGUAGCAAAGCAUUAGUUUUCCUAUCAUCCUAGUUUUUUUCUUCUCCACAACAAUGACAAAGAGACUAUGUCUGAGUGGUGGUGGUGGUGGUGGUGGCACUCUCGCCACCACUCCUGUUAAGUCUGCUAAAGAGGGCAGCACUGAGAAACCCAUCCUAGGAGGAGCCUUGCGACACUGAUCUUGCAAACUUAGAGAACAAUCCGGUGCUGUUCUCCGCGGAGCUGCUGUUAGUGCUAAGGUUGGGUGCUGGUGUGGAGCUCUGUCUUUUUUUCCAGUCCUUAAUACAACUUGAUGCUCAAAGGAAUUUGUUGCACUUAAAGCCCGAAGUUUUUGAUGGCAAGUAG
rnacentral:lncRNA from 1 species